GCUGGAGUGUUGAAACUGGCAGACAAGCACCGUUCAGAACGGUGUGCUCGUUACGAGCGUGGAGGUUCGAAUCCUCUCUCCAGCA
rnacentral:tRNA from 2 species